rnacentral:rRNA from 1 species
AUGCAGCGCAUGGGCGACGCCGCGCUAAGGCCAGAGGAGGACUUCGUCGUCGUUCUGGCGACACCUGAGAUGCAGGCGGAGGCAGCCAUCCUCGCCUCCAACUGUGCUGUGGCCUGGCUGGAGGGGGCCAGGCAGGACAUCCCCUGCCACCAGGUGGCUGCCGAGCUCGCGACGGCCCUGGGCGCGAGACCGGCCGACGUCGAAGUUGUCAAGCACUACCCCGAGCAAUUUUUGGUGCGCUUCAUGCAUCAACACCACUGCGCCGACGCCGUGUCUCGUGGUGAUCUUCGUGGCAAUGGCCACCGCAUCUUCGUGCGUGAGUGGAGGCUCGAGGCUCAUGCAGACAACGAAGACCAACUCCAUCAUGUCCGUCUCUGCUUGGAAGGCGUCCCGCUGCACGGCUGGAACCACUACAUCGCCACCUUCCUCAUCGGCCGAGGUUGCUCCCUCGACUACAUCGAGCCUCGAUCGCUCCGCAAAGAGGACACAAGGGACAUGGCGCUUUGGGCUUGGACGUCCAACCCCAGUGCCAUCCCCAAGGUCAAAUGGCUCACUCUCUCGGCCCGUGGUCACCGCCGCCGCGGACGCCGAGGUCUCCGUCACCGCGUGCUCAUCCACCUCGACCUCCACGAGGACCACUCCAAGGCCGGGGACGACGACGACAACCCGCCGCCACCGGACGUCCACGAGUUCAGUUGGUACAGGAAGGUGGACGGCACGUACACGCCAAGGGAGCGCGGGCCUACCCAGGGAUGUGCAGAACGCCGCGGUGGCAGGCGUGAAGACGAGGGCGACCGUGACGGCAGGCGUGGCCGUGACGAUGGUCGCGCACGGGAAGGAUGGGGUGCCAGGGUCCGACGCUCGCUCUCCCGAAACGCUCGGGACCGGCAUCAAGGGGAGGUCCAGAACCGUUCAAGGGACCGCUCCGGUGGCCGCCGGCACGCUGGCAACAGCCUGGCUGCUUCGCCCGCACCUAUGGAGGGGGCCUGCUGCUGCUCUGGUUCUCAGGGGCUCGGGCUCGGCCAGUGA